GCCACCAUAGCUCAGUUGGUAGAGCGCCUCACUUGUAAUGAGGAUGUCGCGGGUUCGACUCCUGCUGGUGGCUCCA
rnacentral:tRNA from 1 species